UACAGAGGGGGCGAGCGUUAAUCGGAAUUACUGGGCGUAAAGGGUGCGUAGGUGGUGACAUAAGUUAGGUGUGAAAGUCCCGGGCUUAACCUGGGGAUUGCGCCUAAUACUGUGAGGCUUGAGUAUUGUAGAGGAAAGUGGAAUUUCCGGUGUAGCGGUGAAAUGCGUAGAUAUCGGAAGGAACAUCAGUGGCGAAGGCGACUUUCUGGACAAAUACUGACACUGAGGCACGAAAGCAUGGGGAGCAAACAGG
rnacentral:rRNA from 1 species